UUCCGGUUGAUCCCGCCGGAGGUUACUGCUUUCGAGGUUCGACUAAGCCAUGCGAGUCGAAUGCCGCAAGGCAUGGCGUACUGCUCAGUAACACGUGGACAACCUACCCUUAGGACUGGGAUAACCCCGGGAAACUGGGAAUAAUCCCCGAUAGUCCUCGAAGGCUGGAAUGCAUCGAGGGCGAAAGCUCCGGCGCCUAAGGAUGGGUCUGCGGCCUAUCAGGUAGUAGUGGGUGUAGCGUACCUACUAGCCUACGACGGGUACGGGUUGUGAGAGCAAGAGCCCGGUGAUGGAUUCUGAGACACGAAUCCAGGCCCUACGGGGUGCAGCAGGCGCGAAAACUUUACAAUGCUGGCAACAGCGAUAAGGGAACCUCGAGUGCCAUGUUAUUAAUCUGGCUGUCGAGAUGCCUAAAAAGCAUUUCAUAGCAAGGGCCGGGCAAGACCGGUGCCAGCCGCCGCGGUAACACCGGCGGCUCGAGUGGUAACCGUUAUUAUUGGGUCUAAAGGGUCUGUAGCCGGCCGGAUAAGUCUCUUGGGAAAUCUGGCAGCUCAACUGUCAGGCUAUCAAGAGAUACUGUCUGGCUCGAGGCCGGGAGAGGUGAGAGGUACUUCAAGGGUAGGGGUGAAAUCUUGUAAUCCUUG
rnacentral:rRNA from 1 species